UGCUAAUCACACUAUAAGGCAGGUUUCACGAUUAGUGGUAUUUCUCAAAGAGAAGAAGGGACUACUAGGGGCAACUCAAUUCUCGCAACAUCAUCCUAAAUCGAUCCUACCUCACUUAUUUAGGCACUACACUAAAUACCUCUUUCUAUAAUACAUAAUUAUAAGCUGAUUGGAAAUAUAUUAUAAAACGCAACCUAAAAAGUUAGAAAGCUGUAAAGUUAAAAUGGAGGAAAAAAAAAAAAAAAACAAAAGCAAAAACAAACUCAAAAUAUUCUCAUCAAAAACAAAAAGAAAGGCCCUUUUAACGGUAACUCCACUUCUCGUCAGCCACGAUUUCCACUUCUCUUCCCUCCAAUGCGCGGGAGGAAGGCAGCGCCACCGUCACACUCAGCCACGGGAAGGCAGUGCCACCACCAUCUUCACAGGAAGUCGCAACCCUCCGAGAGCUCGAGGUGUGCUACGGGAUGGUGGGGGCUCGCGACUUUGGGCGUGCGGCGGGGAGGUCGACGAGGAUUUGCUGCAACAAAAGGUCUAGACCUUUGGAGUUGAGUCAGCAUCACUUUCUUGACAGGGAGCACAACAAUAACAGCAAGGCUCGGCAGUUCUCUGCUUAGUCAAAUUUGAGGCUUGUGCCCUUUGCUAAGAUUACAGAGAACAUUGGGGAUUGGGCUUCGUUGUGAUGCCACUUCUCUAACAAUAUACCUCGUUGGAGAGGGAGCUCCUGGCUGAAUUCCUAGAGAGAAGUUGCUGAUGAAUUCAGAGCUCAACUUAUUGUUAUAGGCUGUGAAUGAGUUCUUAAGGAGGUGCUUUGCUGUCUAUAUCACCACUCUUUCCAAAAUAUAUUAACUUGUUUUGGCCAAAGCAGCUACAAAGGAAUAUGAGAGAAAAGCUUGGGAGUUUGUGAAGACUACGGUAGGAAAUAUAAACAACUUGGAGUGUUUGGCUUUGUUCUCUCGAAACAAAUUCUAAAAACUGAGUUAUAAGAAAUAGGAAAUUCAGAAAAUGAGUUAAUUGUGCUUUCAAAGUUCUUAGAAAACUCUUGAGAUACAUUGUAUGCGGAUUUAUAUAAUUAAAGCUGCAUGUAUUGAAGUUGUUAUAAACAACUUAACAUUAUAUAUAUAUAUAUAUUUAUAUAUAUACCUUUUUUUGGAGUAAAGCGUUUGAUGUAAGUUUUUGAAGUAUUUAUUGGACUUUAUUAGAGUGUUGUACUAUAUGAGUUCAAGCUUUUACCAGACAUAGCCAUUAGUUAUGUUUUAAUUGUCAUUAGUGAUACAUCUUUUGCUAUUGGUUAAUACAUGUGACAGUGAGAAUCCAUUUCUUACGGCUUUAGGCUUCUCUUUUGUGAUUUCUUGCUACAAAUGAUAAAACUUAUAGGGUAACUCUUGAUGGUUUAUUCUGUUGUGCUAUAUGUUUUAUUUCUGCAGCAAUUGUUGUAGUAGUUAUAACAUAUAUAUCAUAGGAAAAGUAGUGUUCUAGAGGGCAAAUAUGUUUUGAAAAAAAUUAUGCAAGUUUUGUUUGUUUUCAUUAAGCAACAAACUCCUAAAUGGAAAACAAAAUUUAUGUUAGUGCCCAUCAAAAGCUACAGAUAGAUCCAACUAAGUUUUAUAACUUCCAUGCCUAGUUAGUUACCUCAUUUGCUAGUUAAUUUCAUAUUGAAGAAUAAGUUGAACAACUCUAAAUUAAUGCAUGCAUGAACCUUGUUUUUUAGUUUUCUCAAAUUUUACAUCCUUGAAAGAAUGGGAAGAUGCUAGUUCGUUUAUAAUGAACAUUAAGUUAGGUGAUUAAUUUUCCUCAUCUUGUGUAUUUAUUUGGUAUUUCUAUUUUUGCAUCAAAUAGUCUGGUAAACAAAUUUAAAAAUCAAUAUUCAUUUGCUCUUAUCUUAGUUUGAGUAUAGUAUAAUUUUGCGUCAUAUAGGCUUUGUUUUUGUUCAAAAAAGUAUAAUAUAUUUUUUACUAGUGAUUUCUACUCUGUGCUGCGCAUACCUCAUACCCACCACCUGCAAUUUUGAUUAUCCUCUUCAUCGCUCCUGAGUUUUUAUUGGUGAGGAAAACAAAUAAUAUUUCAGGUUAUUUUAAUUGUGUUGAUAUUAUGUUCUCUAGUAACAUAUAUCUAAUAUUAAUGUUUGUUUUAUUUGAUUUUUACUUUUAUAUUACGGAAUGUUCUUCUUGAUUAAUUUAUUAACAAAAUGUCAUUUUAGUUUGUAAUUGACUAUUGUAUAGCUGGUUUAUAAGUGGAUAUCUAAUAAUUAUUAUUUUGUCUUUUCUUUUGCUUAUGUUUGUUUCUUUAUUUUGCACUUAUGUUUGCUUCAAGAAUAUUAGUUUAACAAGGUCUAUUUAAUGCCUUUUAGAUUUAUGUUUGUGUUUAUAUUCAAAUUUCUUUCAAUAUUUAACUGUAGUUGGAAGUACUGGCUGCACUAAGGACCUUGAUAGCGAAGUCAAAGAGAUUGCACAAACUUUUGCUUGAAAAUGUUAUUGUUUUUUUAUUUGCUAUAUCAUUAACUUGCAUCCUAAUUAUGAUGGUGGGAAUAAACAAGUUUGGUUGAGAAUUGCAAAACCAAACUAUAAUUUAGUUAGCAAAUAGUUUCAAGUGUUCUAAGGAUAGUUUCAAGUCUCCUGUAUUGCAGGUGCAGAAAAGCUCAUGCAAUUUCAUUAAAUUCACAGAUCUUGUACUUAGGUAUGUUUUUGCUGUUAUGGAUUCCCCUCUAUUUCAUCAGAUUUAGAAAAACUGUAAAUCUGAUAUUUGUGUAUAUAUUUUGUCUUCAUAGUAUUUAUUUUUUUGCCUCUUUCACUUUUAUCUAUUUUUUCACAUUACGUUUGAGCUUUGAGAUAUUGGGUUUGUAUUAUGUCUUGACUUAACUUUGAUGUGUUUGGUUUUUGUAAGUUCAAAUUUCCACGAGCCCUAGAUCAUGGUAUUCUUGUGAGAAUUCUCAUAUUCCAUUAUAAGUACACUUUUAACUAGCUUAUGUCUUGCAUUGAAACACUGUCAUGCUGGAAUAUACAUAUCAAUAUGUAUGUCAUACAUUAUUCUCUGCCUUUAUUUUUUGAAUUUUUAAUUAAUUCAUAGCUUGCAUACCUAAUUAUAUUUUAUAAUAUUUGAUUGGGAUUAAUUAGUAGCUUAGCUAAUCUCUGCCACUUUUUUGGGCAUUGAAAUAUUUUUUUUAUGGGACUGAGAUUUUGUUAUAUUUUAAGUUGUGGAUUUUUUUAAGUGGCAGUCUUUCUUUUUUUCCUUUUAAACAUUGACCUAACUGAUUAAUUGUUUUUAAUCCUUUUGAGUCAAAUAUUUGAGAAAUCACUACCAUAUUUAAUCAAUGGCAAGAGAAAGAUCCAAUAGUCUUAAUAAGAGAUAUAAUUAGUUCUUGUCUACCUAGAGAUACAAUCUUGGUACAAACAAUUAAAUAUGUUGAGUAGCUUAAUUGUAAUUGAACUGUGUUUAGUUGUUGGGUUAUUUUCUCUUUUUCUAUUCAUUUAGCCAUUUUACCAAGUAAAACUAAUGGCCUAUGUGUAGACUAUGAUAACCUUUUAGUUAGCAUUUUUUGUAGCAUUGUUUGUUUUUUUAUUUUGGAAUGCUAGUACUGGAUCUAAUUUUCACUGCUGCUUUUGUCUUUUCUUGUGUAGGUGUAUAAAAUUUUCGUAAAAUGAUAUAUAUAUAUAUAUUGGUUUGCUAAAGUUACCUGAAUGGAGUUACUGAAUGAGAUAUGAUUGGUCAUUCCCUGAAUAGUUAUUUAUGUUGGUGAUGGUCAUUCAUUUUAUGGUUUUGCUUAUUGGUUUUAUUGAAGAUAUGAGACUAUUCUAAGUAUGAGGCUGCUCUUGUUUUUUCUUAGUCUACUCUCCCUAAUAAAUCGGUUUUGUGGAAUGUCUUUGCCUUUUUUAGUGGUCAGUUCAGACAUUAUACUUGUAAGCAUGACUUCUAUUUCUGACAUUUUGUAGUUGAUUGAUUGUUUAUAAGCUAGUCUUUGACAAGUCUAAUGUUCUUAAUGAUUAAAGGACUUUUUUCUUUUGCAAUGUCCAGGUAUAUUGAGAUGUCUUUCUUUGGAGCAAUGCUAUACAAAGUUUAUGGUUGAAGUUUAUAGAAUAAAAGAAUGUGUUCUACCUACUUUGUAUACAUUUCCUAAAUUGUACCGGUCCUCAAAAAUAUAUUUGUACAAUUUUAAGGGUGUUUUGAGUAUAUUAAAUGAAGUGGAUUUGAAUUAAAGCAAUAAAAAAUAAUUAUAAUGUACAGUGUUAUAUAAUAAUAAUUCAAGCUUAUCCAAAUAUUAGAAUAAUACAAAAAAGUGUUAUUGUAUCUUUUCCAAUAACAUUGGUUUAUAAGCAUAAAAUUAUGUUAUGCAAACUAUUUUCUAUAAUGUAGAAAAUGUGUUAUUAUAAAGUGUAUCAUAACACUACUUUAUAAGUACAAAAAAUUGUUAUAUAAUCUAUUUAUAAAUAGCAUAAUGAUACCAUAACACAUGUCUAUAACUAUGGAAAAAUGUUAUUCAAAGUGCUUCCACCUACUAUAACACUGCUUUCUUUAACACAUCAAAAAAUGUUAUGGUAUAUAUUUGAUAAUACUUUUUCGGUCUUAUUGAAAGCAGUUUUUCUUGUAGUGCCGGGGAAAUUUCUCAAAGGAAAUGUACUUGUAGGAGCCGACUCCGAUCUCGUAAUGAGAUCCUAAAUCAUGAUUGCUUCACCUAUUUACAGUGUAUUUCGGAUUGUUGGAAAGGCCUGUGAUAACUUCAUUUUAGGGUCAUUUUAGAAGGUGUUUCUGUGGUAAUCUUGAGUUUUUAUGUGUGUUUUGUGCAAGAUUACGCUUUUGUUUGUCUUUGUUAUAGGAUGGUGCGACGAAUCACAAGAAAAAUGCAAAAAGAAGCGAAAAUGGUGGAAAAACGAGGCUCUUGGUGGUUAUUGGGCUAAAAAUGAUACUAAGGAUUCUUAAAGGAUGGUUUUUGAUGAAGAGAUGAGCUGAAAGAUCUAAUCUGAGAAAAAAUUGAAUUAAAGUCGCAAGCAACUUGGAUAUAUGAGUCGCGACUCAAGGUGAAGUCAGAGUAGCAUAUGCUUGCUGGAAGGAAUUAAUGUCGCGACUUGGGCUUACAAGUCACGACUCAAGAGGGAAAUAGAGGCUCAGAUAAGGGGAAACUCAGACACGGGCCUCGACUUGAGAUUCUUGAGUCGCGGUGCCUAAAGACUUUACAAGAGAAGGAAAGGCUCCAAAACAAACACAGGCUGCGACCUAGAGAAGGCCAAGUCGCGGCCCGCAUACGAAAAAACACAGAUUCUUGUAAUUUUUUAAUAUAAAUUUGUAUUUAGUCAUUAGGUCAGUUUUUAAUUACGUCUUAGAGACAAAUUUUGUUUCUUAGGCUAGUAAUUCUGCAAUUUUAUAUUUUUCUUUCUUCUUUAAGUUUAUGAAUCUUAUGUUCUUUAAUUAUUAUUUUAUUGAUUUAGUCAUGUUUGAUAUGAACUAAACAAUUUUUAUCUAGGGUUUAAUGUAGUCACUUGGAUUUCUAUCUAAUUGAAUUAUGA